UACGAAGGGGGCUAGCGUUGUUCGGAAUCACUGGGCGUAAAGGGCGCGUAGGCGGCCGAUCAAGUCGGGGGUGAAAGCCUGUGGCUUAACCACAGAAUGGCCUUCGAUACUGUUUGGCUUGAGACCGGAAGAGGUUAGUGGAACUGCGAGUGUAGAGGUGGAAUUCGUAGAUAUUCGCAAGAACACCAGUGGCGAAGGCGGCUGACUGGUCCGGUUCUGACGCUGAGGCGCGAAAGCGUGGGGAGCAAACAGG
rnacentral:rRNA from 1 species